rnacentral:rRNA from 1 species
CAUAUCAAUAAGCGGAGGAAAAGAAACCAACAGGGAUUGCCCUAGUAACGGCGAGUGAAGCGGCAACAGCUCAAAUUUGAAAUCUGGCGCAAGCCCGAGUUGUAAUUUGUAGAGGAUGCUUCUGGGCAGCGGCCGGUCUAAGUUCCUUGGAACAGGACGUCACAGAGGGUGAGAAUCCCGUAUGUGACCGGCGCGCACCCUCCACGUAGCUCCUUCGACGAGUCGAGUUGUUUGGGAAUGCAGCUCUAAAUGGGAGGUAAAUUUCUUCUAAAGCUAAAUACCGGCCAGAGACCGAUAGCGCACAAGUAGAGUGAUCGAAAGAUGAAAAGCACUUUGGAAAGAGAGUUAAAAAGCACGUGAAAUUGUUGAAAGGGAAGCGCUUGCAACCAGACUCCGCGGCGGUGUUCCGCCGGUCUUCUGACCGGUCCACUCGCCGCCGCGGGGCCAACAUCGUCUGGGGCCGCCGGACAAGACUGGAGGAAUGUAGCUCCCUCGGGAGUGUUAUAGCCUUCAGUGAUGCGGCGCGUCCCGGGCGAGGUCCGCGCUUCGGCAAGGAUGUUGGCGUAAUGGUUGCCAGCGGCCCGUCUUGAAACACGGACCAAGGAGUCUAACAUCUAUGCGAGUGUUCGGGUGUCAAACCCCUACGCGUAAUGAAAGUGAACGGAGGUGGGAGCUUCGGCGCACCAUCGACCGAUCCUGAUGUCCUCGGAUGGAUUUGAGUAAGAGCAUAGCUGUUGGGACCCGAAAGAUGGUGAACUAUGCCUGAAUAGGGUGAAGCCAGAGGAAACUCUGGUGGAGGCUCGCAGCGGUUCUGACGUGCAAAUCGAUCGUCAAAUUUGGGUAUAGGGGCGAAAGACUAAUCGAACCAUCUAGUAGCUGGUUCCUGC